CCCCUCUGGGUUUCAUGGCUCUUAAGCUUCAGGGCUGGAAAAUUAUUCAUCCAAACCACAGCUCCCACAACACCCUCUGUAAGCAUCUGUGGCUCCAGACUCCACUGCAGCAGUGGGUGGCAGGUCAUAAAUUCAUCAUCCUCACCAGCUUGGCCUCCUGUCAGGCAGGACACGAAGCACGGAGCAGAGGCUGUGCCACAGACACACUGUGUGCCUGCACUCACUGGGCAAAACCUGCUGGCCACUUUGUGUGACAGACCCUGUCCUGUGCUUUCCUGGGGGUGAGGAGCUCCCCCCAGGCUGCUGGAGAAGCUGUGCUUUAGCUGCAGAUGUCUGCAGGUUCACCUGGCUGCUGGGAACACCAGGCCAGAUGUGUUAGCCAGAUGUGGGGGCCGAGGGAUCCCUCACUCCCGGGCUUUUGGAAGCUCUGCAGACAGCACCAUGCCCCCCCACCAUGGCUUCAAUGUCCUGCCUCAUGUCCCAGGGCCAGGGCCCCUGGCAGCUCUGUGCCACCAGCUGUGGGUGACAGGGCACCAGCCCUGUGCCCUGCCCUGGCACAGACACACAGGAGAUGGUGACAGGGCACCAGCCCGGUGCCCUGCCCUGGCACAGACACACAGGAGAUCCAGGGGCACUUUCCCAAGGGACUGUGGAAGGUUCCUGGUGCCCUGCUCGGGAGGGAGCCCCACUGAGGAGCAUGGACAGUCCCAUGGAGGAGGAUGGACAGUCCCACUGAGGAGGAUGGACAGCCCCACUGAGGAGGAUGGACAGUCCCACAGAGGAGGAUGCACAGCCCCACUGAGGAGGAUGGACAUUCCCAUGCUGUGCUGAGCUCCAGGAUGAGAGCUGGUGUGGGACAGGUGCCUGCAGAACUCGCCCCCCCUUUGCUUGGUCACUGCCAUUAGAGUGUGGCCCGGGGUUUGGCCAGGUUGUCCCAUAUGGAUGAUGUUCUGCUCUUCUCCAUGAAAGCAGUUCUGUCCCAUUCUGAGGCUUCCCUCCUCUGCCAUCAGCUGUGGAGCCAGACCCAGAUCCCCUCCAUGCAGAACAUGGCUUUGAGCAAAGCCCAAUGAUGACUCUGAACACCACGGGGCAGUUCUGACUGUGGGAAAACAGCAGAGAGAGGCUGGGGGGCUCCUGCCUCUCCUUGUCCCUGGCAGCUGCUCAUGCUGGAGGAGGCAGUCCUGGCUGGGCUGCAGGGACACCCAGGUAGAUGCACCUGGCAGCAAGGGAGGAGCUGUCCCUGCAGAGCCCUGGGCUGCUGAGGGGUGAUGCAGAGCCAAGAGGGACAGUGCCCACCCCUGCAGGGGAGGCAGCCAGCAGCACAAGUCCCACUCACUGGCUGCCAGGCCCUAGAGGGCAAAACCCCUGGUCAACCUUCAUCUGUGCCCCUCCCAAGGCUCCUGCUAGCCCAUGGCAUCCUGUCACUGUGACUGGCCCUGCUUUGCAGGUAGGGCACUCCACAGAUCUUGAAAUCCUCUGAGACAAUGAGCACCAGGUGUUUUAACAUCAUAACCUGUGCAGGGACAUACAGGUGCAAUUUUUGUCAUGUUGAGUGCAGACUGCACACCUUGAACAAGAGCCUGAUGCUAACACACACCUUGGAGAUCAACCAUGCCCUGCACCCAGGAUUCCUGGGUCAUGCAAAGCCAGGAGAGCCACAGGCUGUGCCCAGCAGCACCAGCAAGGUGAUGCUGGAGCUGGAUCCAGGUCUGGGUCAGCUCUGCCCUGUUUGAGGACACGACACCAGCCCUUUCCCCCAGCAGCAGCUCUCAGCCCUUCCAACACAGGAAUCUCUGCCCUCACACACUGCAGGUCAGCUGUGCUGGGGUGGAGCAGGGAGAGGAGUGGGAUUGAGUCUCCAGUAUGAAAGCAUCAGCAUUUCCACUGUUCUUCCAGGGGUAUCUGUGAGUGGACCUGCAGGUCCUGGCAGAAAGCUGCUGUCCUGGAGCCUAAGAGUUAUUUAAAAGGCUGGAUGCAGCUGGAGGAUGAAAGCUGCACGUCAGAGCUGUUUCCAGUGCAGGUCUAAGGAAGAUGGAGCUCUCUGCAUGUGAGCAGGACACAUGGUCUUUGACACUACCCCUUCUUGGGGGCUCUUGGGGUAAAACCCCCAGCACUGGUGAGAUUCUGUGCUGCUGGGCAGGUCUAAACUUCACCAGCCUGUCAGCUCCAGACUCUGGGCAGACAAAUAGCACAUCAAUCUUUGGACCAGGUAUGACUUUGCAGCUUGCUUGCCUGAUGUUAACAUCCAUUGUGCACUGGUGUGUGCAGUGAGGGCCCAGACACACCUGGCAGGUGCAAAGCACAGGGACCUCGUGUGCAGUCAACAGCCCAACACCACUGAUCCUGCCUGCAGGGCUCUGGAAACAAACGUUUCCCUGUUGUGACCCUCAUCCAGCAGCACCAGUGUGGUUACUGGUUACAUAAAAGUCAUAAAGCCAUCAGGCUCCCUGUGAGCAAGGGCAAGGGCUGGGCUCCCCUCAAAGCAACAUCAUAAAUCCUUUUGUGCACAUGAGAACAUCCACUGAGCUUCACAAGCCCUUUUCAUGUUGGAAGUAUUCACUCAUGCUCCUGGAGAGCCCCUGGCAUGCUGGCAUCUCCCCAGGAACAGCAAUGGAACAAGGCUGGAUGGUCACUGGUGCAGGCUGAGCAGGGACAGAUGGGUCACAUCACAUGGCUGGGUGACCCUGGCACAAAGAUGUUGUGACACAGAAACGUUCCCAAACAGCAACUGGAUCCAGGACAAUGCAGGACAGGAGGGGUGAGGGUGCCCAUGGGCAACUGAGGAUGCUCUGGGCCAUGCUGAGGUCAGCACUGCACACACAGCAUGUCCAGCAUGGGAGAAAAACAGCUCUCUAUGGGGCCAGGGUUCUGCACUGCCUGGUUUCCCCAGCUCUCUCUAUAGGGCCAAGGCUCUGCACUGCCUGGUUUCCCCAGGGGGGGGGGGGGGGGGGGGGGGGGGGGGGGGGGGGGGGGGGGGGGGGGGGGGGGGGGGGGGGGGGGGGGGGGGGGGGGGGGGGGGGGGGG
ensembl:lncRNA